UGCUAGAGCUCGAGGCAAAGCACAGUCAG
rnacentral:piRNA from 1 species